GGUGGAGUGUCAUGGCGGCGCGAGUGUCAUUGCACUAAUCCAAAGCCCUUCGGAGAGAGAGACAGAGAGAGAGACAGAGAGACAGAGAGAGAGAGAGACAGGCAGUGUGGCGGGACCGCUCGCAGUCAUGAAGUUCAAUGACAUAGUGAAGUGGAACAGCAGAGUGUCUGCGCUGUACGCGCUGGGCAUCUGGAGCAUGUUCGGUUCCUACGCUUACUUCAGAUACACAGGGCGGUAUGACUCUGCAGAGAAAAAAGAAGUGGUGCCAAAGCCAGAAACUCAGGAUCAAGUCGUCUAUCAGACACCCCACACCAAGUCUGUCAUCAUCUACAAGAAAGACUUUGUCCCGUACAGCACAAGGAUCUACAAUUUCAUCAGAUCCUUCAGCAGUGAGCCUGGGAGUGGAGAUGCUGGCAAAUAGUUGCAUCAGCAGUGCAAAGGAUGAUGGGACACUGACAUUUUCAAGAGCAUUUCUUAUAAUGCCCUGUGAAUUUUCGCUUUUGUGUGAAGACAUUAUGUUUAUUUGUAAAAUAAUCUCCAGCGCAGUAUCCACCUGUCCAGGUGUGAGGGAGCCGCCAUAAUGGACUGUUCACACGUUAUUUAUAAUUAAAUGUACUACGAGGAGUCUUUAACUGGUUAUGAAACAGUCUCAAUUCAAUACUGAUGCCUUUAUAUGACCUAUGUGAACAAACAUAACCCUCAGCAAGAAGAUUAACUGUGUCUGUAUUGUGAUUCUUAAUGGUCGAUUUGGAUUCCCCUUGAAAUCAAUGAAAUGUGAUGGUAGAAGCACUACCGCUUUUGUCCACAGGGGCCGCCAGAAUCAAUACAGAAGUUCCUUGAGCUUUACCCACGCCUGUCCACAAUAAGCAGUUUCCACAACCACUCAUGAUGUUCAAAUAAACCCAUGUUGUAAUAUA